rnacentral:rRNA from 1 species
CCUACGGGAGGCUGCAGUGAGGAAUAUUGGUCAAUGGCCGUAAGGCUGAACCAGCCAAGCCGCGUGAAGGAAGAAGGCUCUGUGGUUUGUAAACUUCUUUUAUAGGGGAAUAAAGGUAUCCACGUGUGGAUUUUUGCAUGUACCCUAUGAAUAAGCAUCGGCUAACUCCGUGCCAGCAGCCGCGGUAAUACGGAGGAUGCGAGCGUUAUCCGGAUUUAUUGGGUUUAAAGGGUGCGUAGGUUGUUUUUUAAGUCAGCGGUGAAAGUUUGUGGCUCAACCAUAAAAUUGCCGUUGAAACUGGAAGACUUGAGUGUGUUUGAGGUAGGCGGAAUGCGUGGUGUAGCGGUGAAAUGCAUAGAUAUCACGCAGAACUCCGAUUGCGAAGGCAGCUUACUAAGCCAUAACUGACACUGAAGCACGAAAGCGUGGGGAUCAAACAGGAUUAGAUACCCCUGUAGUC